rnacentral:tRNA from 1 species
GCCGAAGUGGCGGAAUGGCAGACGCGGUGGACUCAAAAUCCACUGUCCGCAAGGACGUGAGGGUUCGAGCCCCUCCUUCGGUACCA